rnacentral:rRNA from 1 species
CCUACGGGAGGCAGCAGUGAGGAAUAUUGGUCAAUGGGCGUAAGCCUGAACCAGCCAAGUCGCGUGAGGGAUGAAGGUUCUAUGGAUUGUAAACCUCUUUUAUAAGGGAAUAAAGUGCGGGACGUGUCCCGUUUUGCAUGUACCUUAUGAAUAAGGACCGGCUAACUCCGUGCCAGCAGCCGCGGUAAUACGGAGGAUCCGAGCGUUAUCCGGAUUUAUUGGGUUUAAAGGGUGCGUAGGCGGCCUUUUAAGUCAGCGGUGAAAUGCUGUGGCUCAACCAUCGAAUUGCAGUUGAAACUGGGAGGCUUGAGUAUGUUUGAGGCAGGCGGAAUGCGUGGUGUAGCGGUGAAAUGCUUAGAUAUCACGCAGAACCCCGAUUGCGAAGGCAGCCUGCCAAGCCAUGACUGACGCUGAUGCACGAAGGCGUGGGGAUCGAACAGGAUUAGAUACCCCUGUAGUC